rnacentral:misc_RNA from 1 species
GUAGGUGAACCUGCGGAAGGAUCAUUAAUGAAUAAACUCGGUGGAUUGUUGCUGGCUCUUAGGAGCAUGUGCACAUCUGCCAUUGUUUCAUUCUUUCUCCACCUGUGCACCUUUUGUAGGCUUGGAUAACUCUCAAGGACUGAAUUACAUUCAUUUCUUGGAUUUGGGGAUUGGUUUCAAAAGAAACCUCUCCUUUGCAUUUCCAGUCUAUGUUUUAUAUAUCUACACCCCAUUAGUAUGUGUUAGAAUGUUUAUUAUUUGGCCUUUCGUUUUGAUAGGCUUUAAAACUUAUACAACUUUCAACAACGGAUCUCUUGGCUCUC